ensembl:lncRNA
UUUUGAAGGAAUGUAUAUUUUAAAGGACAACAUAGUACAACUGCAGCACACAAGGAUCCAGGUAAGAAUAAAGGCCAACAGUCCCACUAAAGCAGCACUGAGAGGACACAAAAUGGCCAUCAGCACCCAGCACUGCCCUGAACACCCAGCAUGACAUUCUGAAGACUCAGGAGGACCUGUUGAAAAUCCAUCCAGUUUCUCUGUUUAAACACCAAAUUCAAAUGAAUGCAUUUGCUUGUCAUCCACUGAGAAAAUCAAUCAUGAAACCACACUGGAAUGCUGAAGAGAAGAUACACUACCAUCAUCAUCUCUUUUAGGUGAAACACUGCCCUUCUCAUAUUCAAGAAUGUAACCGGAUCCAACUGUAAGUUCUUUGUCGAUUCCUGAAGUACAAAAGUAGAAUCCUAGCAAAGACUCAUUAAUGUUGCUGAUGGUCAGACUGAUGGAGCCAUUGUCCUCUAACUUUGUGCUGAAUGCAUUGUUGUUGCCAUGGAGGAAUUUAUUUAGAACUUCCUUUUGGUUAACGUCAUAUUGUUUGGCCGAUAUGAUGACAAAGGGCGUCUUGUUGCUCUCUUGUCCGUACCACGUUGUCGAGGUCUUCAUAGGUACGUUACAGGACAUACAGACAGUCUCCCCAGGUUUGACCACUCUGGUCAUAGUGGAGGACACUGAAGAGACCACUGGAGAAACACAAAAAAAAACCUGAUGGACAAGACUGACCAAAAUAAUUAACAAUUUGUUUGGUUCAUAUACUGUAACACUUUGAUACCGGUAACAAUUGAUAUAGUUCAAACAGGCCUAACUCACUACAUUGUACCUGUAAUGUAAUAUCAUAUUGCAACGAUACUGACUAACAGCUAUAUUCACUCUACUGAAUCUUUGCAACAUAAAAACACAUCAUGUGAAAAUGCAAAACAUAUGACAUUAGCAGGACCAGUUGUUUUGGCUGUUUUACCUCAAAAUAACCGAAAUACCUAGCCAUAAUUGUAAGGUUUUAAAGAAGUAGGUAAUUACCUGCUUGCAGAAAAGUUUUAACAAAACAUCACUUAUUGUUACAUAGGAUGGUCAUGAAAGACUCAUGAAGAGAGGAUAGAAAUUCAGUCAGUAUGAUUGAUGUAGAGGAGAAUAGACAGGCAGGCUACUUACAGUGUAGGACAAUCAGGACUAUCAA